rnacentral:rRNA from 1 species
GACGAACGCUGGCGGCGUGCUUAACACAUGCAAGUCGAACGGAAAGGCCCUGCUUGCAGGGUACUCGAGUGGCGAACGGGUGAGUAACACGUGGGUGAUCUGCCCUGCACUUCGGGAUACGCCUGGGAAACUGGGUCUAAUACCGGAUAGGAGCCAUUUUUAGUGUGAUGGUUGGAAAGUUUUUUCGGUGUAGGAUGAGCUCGCGGCCUAUCAGCUUGUUGGUGGGGUAAUGGCCUACCAAGGCGGCGACGGGUAGCCGGCCUGAGAGGGUGGACGGCCACAUUGGGACUGAGAGACGGCCCAGACGCCGACGGGAGGCAGCAGGGGGGAAUAUUGCACAAUGGGCGCAAGCCUGAUGCAGCGACGCCGCGUGGGGGAUGACGGCCUUCGGGUUGUAAACUCCUUUCGCUAGGGACGAAGCUUUUUGUGACGGUACCUAGAUAAGAAGCACCGGCUAACUACGUG